UCAAGUAUAGAAGGAAUAUCUAUAGAUCUUCCGGCGAUCGCAACUGUCAUCUUGUCUUCGGUCGGUCUUGGCUCUUCGAGGCGACAGCUCACAUAUUUUUGCUGUCCAUAAAUGAAGACGACGCCUAAAGGUUUGCUGUGAUAUAACAUACUUCGAUUAGAAGAUCAAACUACUGACAUGUAAUAUUUAUGGCAGUCAGACUUUUAUUUCCAAGAAUACUUCUAAUGAGCUGGUCAAAAAAAUCAUAGGACAUAAGUUGCUAACAACGGUUUCCAAUAAAGCAUAGUAAAUGAACGUAAUGAAGGAAAAUCAGAAGGGCUUGAAACGUGGAGAAGCAGAGCACCACUCACACCACAGGGUUCUCAUUUAAUUCUUUUAAAUGAUGGAGUCAAAAAGUAUGGAUUGAAAACCUAGAAAAAUGGAGCUCUAUUAAUACUCCUUCCUCUCGGAGUUGAAUGGUGCAAUUUUUAUAAAAUAGAUGUAGUCCAAUUGACACUGAUGUAUAUAAGGUUGCACAUCUGUGGCAUCAUUGGUUUCUCUUAACCGUUACCUAUUUUCUACAACAUAAAUUGACGUCAUACGUCUAUGGUCGUUCAACAACUGAGAGAGAAUUAAGGUUACAUACUCGAGCAAUUAAUGUCUACAAUGGUGUUAUCUUUCUUGGACUGUAUUCUUGAUUUGCUGUUUUUGUCUUCACUUCUCAACAUUAUGCAGUUAAUUUUCGGCAGAUCAGUGAGAGCAAGAGGAAAUUUAUUUGAAUUCCACUAAAACAACAACUUCUUUGCGAUGGUAUUCCUCCUGGAUUUGGUUUACUUUCACACCUACAAACUUUAGAAUGUUACAAUCCACGGUUAAUUAAGAUCGACGUUGGAGAAGACAAAGAUGACCCAGUAGUUGAA